GACGUAGGAGGCGAGCGUUUGUCCGGAUUCAUUGGGCGUAAAGAGCGCGCAGGCGGCUUGGUAAGUCGGAUGUGAAAUCCCGAGGCUCAACCUCGGGUCUGCAUCCGAUACUGCCCGGCUAGAGGUAGGUAGGGGAGAUCGGAAUUCCUGGUGUAGCGGUGAAAUGCGCAGAUAUCAGGAGGAACACCGGUGGCGAAGGCGGGUCUCUGGGCAACAACUGACGCUGGAGGAGCGAAAGCGUGGGGAGCGAACAGG
rnacentral:rRNA from 1 species